rnacentral:rRNA from 1 species
UGAGGCGGGCUGGACCUCUCGGGGUUACAGCCUUGCUGAAUUAUUCACCCUUGUCUUUUGCGUACUUCUUGUUUCCUUGGUGGGUUCGCCCACCACUAGGACAAACAUAAACCUUUUGUAAUUGCAAUCAGCGUCAGUAACAAAUUAAUAAUUACAACUUUCAACAACGGAUCUCUUGGUUCUGGCAUCGAUGAAGAACGCAGCGAAAUGCGAUAAGUAGUGUGAAUUGCAGAAUUCAGUGAAUCAUCGAAUCUUUGAACGCACAUUGCGCCCUUUGGUAUUCCAAAGGGCAUGCCUGUUCGAGCGUCAUUUGUACCCUCAAGCUUUGCUUGGUGUUGGGCGUCUUGUCUCUAGCUUUGCUGGAGACUCGCCUUAAAGUAAUUGGCAGCCGGCCUACUGGUUUCGGAGCGCAGCACAAGUCGCACUCUCUAUCAGCAAAGGUCUAGCAUCCAUUAAGCCUUUUUUUCAACUUUUGACCUCGGAUCAGGUAGGGAUACCCGCUGAACUUAAGCAUAUCAA